rnacentral:lncRNA from 1 species
ACAACCUUGCAGUUUGUGAUUGAUCUAAAAUUUUAAUUUUAAAUUUAAUAAUCAGAUUAUAAAUUAGAUCUAAUCUAAAAAAUAAUCUAAGCAUGUAUAAAUAAUCAUGUAAUAAAGAACCUGGCUCUGAUACCAAUUGUAGGAUCCAGAUCUAGGGUUUCAGGGUUAGAUCUUGAAACUUUUUCAAGAUCAUACAGCGGAA